GAUGAAGAACGCAGCGAAAUGCGAUAAGUAAUGAGAAUUGCAGAAUUCAGUGAAUCAUCGAAUCUUUGAACGCACAUUGCGCCCCCUGGUAUUCCGGGGGGCAUGCCUGUCCGAGCGUCAUUACAACCCUCAAGCUCAGCUUGGUGUUGGGCCCCGCCGCCCCGGCGGGCCCUAAAGUCAGUGGCGGUGCCGUCCGGCUCCGAGCGUAGUAAUUCUUCUCGCUCUGGAGGUCCGGUCGUGUGCUCGCCAGCAACCCCCAAUUUUUUUCAGGUUGACCUCGGAUCAGGUAGGGAUACCCGCUGAACUUAAGCAUAUCAAUAAGCGGAGGA
rnacentral:misc_RNA from 1 species